GUCGGUAGUUUUUACCUCCCACACUUCCGGCCUUACGGUGCUAGCGAAGACCGCAGAUGUACUCCUACCCAGCAAAUGGAGGUAAACUGGAAGUCAAGAAAAUAAUUUGCUGUCUUUUGAGCUAUUUGUAGCUUUUCAAGCAAUGUAUGUACUUAUGAGCAGAAUUUGAAACAUGAAUUUUUCUCUUUCCUUGAUUUCUCCAGAAUUUGAAAGCCAUUUUAUAAGGCUGGUUUCCUGUGGGAGAGACCAGACAUGGAAACAGUACACAUGGACCAGUUUGCCACAGGGGUUCAAAACACCCACGAUUUUUGGAGAAAGGCUGACUCAUGACCUUCAGAAAUUCCCGGCUAAGGAAUCAGAAUGUGUGCUGUUCCAAUAUGUCAAUGACCUCCUUUCAGGACACCCUACCUAGAAGGGCUGCGCCCAGGGCAUGGACUGUCUUUUAUGACAUCUAGAGGUAUGUGGCUAUAAAGUGUCUAAGCAGAAGGCCCAAGUAUGUUAUCUAGGAUUUACUAUUCAGCAAGGGGAAAAGAAUCUAGGCAUGGAACGGAGGCAGGUCAUUAAUCGACUCUCCACCUCCAAGAGCCAAAAGCAGGUUUGGAAAUUCUUAGGCAGUCAGCUUCUGUCACCUUUGGAUUCCCAACUUUGCCAUCUUUGCUAAGCCUUUGUAUGAGGCAACUAAAGGAGAGGGGAAGAGAAUAGGAAUGUGCCUUCUCCCAGCUAAAGAUGAGGCUGAUGGCUGCACCUGCAUUGGGACUGCCAGACUUGACCAAGCCCUUUACUCUGUAUGUCUCAGACAGAGAUAAAAUGGCUGUGGGUGUGUUAACCCAGCUGGUUGUGUCCUGGCCAAGGCCUGUAGCCUCCCUCUCUAAGCAGUUGGAUGGAGUGGCAAGAGGAUAGCCUCCCUGCUUACCGGCUCUAGCUGCUACUGCUCUCCUUGUGCAAGAAGCCGAUAAGCUGACUCUAGGGCAGGAUCUCAGAGUGAAAGUACCCCACUCUGUGGUCAAUUUAAUGGACACUAAGGGAUAUUUUUGGCUCUUUAAUGCAACACUCUGAACUAAGCCAUGCUCCUUUCAGUCAGUGGAAGAGAGACUGAGCAUGACUGUACAGAAGUUAUAGAUAAUGUGUACUCUAGCAGACCCGACUUGCGUGACCAGCCCUGGACAGAUGCAGACUGGGACUUGUAUGUAGAUGGAAGCAGUUACAUGACGGUGCAAGGUGAGCAGCGGGCUGGGUAUGCAGUGGUCACUUUAACAGAGACUGUGGAGACUAAGCCCCUACCUCAAGGCACAUCUGCUCAGAAGGCUGAGUUAAUUGCCUUGACCCAAGCCUUAGAAUUAAGCCAAGGAAAAAGUGUAAAUAUUUACACUGACUCUAAGUAUGCUUUUCUGACUCUCCAAGUGUGCAGGGCAUUAUACAAGGAAAAGGGACUUUUAAACUCUGGAAGAAAGGACAUUAAGUUUCAGCAGGAGAUACUUGAGUUACUAGAAGCAGUAUGGAAACUCUGGAAGAUAGCAGUAAUGCACUGUUGUGGACAUCAAGGAAAUGCUUCCACCAUCACUAAAGAGAACACUAGGGUUGGUACUGAAGCAAAAAGGGCUGCAUCCCAACCAUACCAGGUGUUGUGAGUGGCUCCCCUCAUCCCAUGGGUUCUGGAGCUCCCCCCUAUCUACUCCCAGGAGGAGAAGGAAUGGUUGGCAGCAGAGGGAAGCCAGGAAGCAGAGGGAGGAUGAACAAAGAUGCCAGAUGGACUAGUAGCAGUCCCCCAGAGUCUAGGAGCCACCAUGGUGACAGGAGUAUUUGAUGUAGUUGCUGGGCCAGUACUUCUACAUCUCCCUCCUGGAAGCCUUAGCCAAAACUGUCAGUCUACAGUGUGUCAUCGGCAGCCAGUUCAAUGUGUUCCAAGGACCAGCGGUAGGUACCCCUAGGAAUCUAGUUAUAUGGAGCAAUGCCCUUCAAGGACUUCCAGGUAGACUUUACUAAAAUGCCCAGGUUUAGAGGGAACAAGUACUGACUGAUGAUGGUCUAUCAGACUUGGAAUAGGUAAAAGCCUUCCCCACUGGGAUAAAAAGGACUCCUAAAAUAGUUAGUAAAAAUAUUGCCCAGAGAAAUCAUCCCAUGAUUUAGGCUGCCACUCUAUUUUGAAUUGGACAAUGGGCUAGCCUUUAUAGCAAAUCUAGUGCAAAUAAUAAGCUAAAGCUUUGAAUAAUUUAUAGGCCUCAAAGCUCAGACAGGGUAAAGUGCAUAAACAGGACCAUAAGAGCAGAAAUUGGUAAACUCUGCCAGGAAUCAAACCUUAACUGGAUGCAGGCCUUGCCACUAGUGUUGUUCAAAGAGGCCUCUGUCAAUUCUUUGCAAUUUAGCAGGAACUCCUAAAAGAACUGGGAAAGACUGAACUGAAUAGACAAAAACCCUAGAAAGAGUAACAAGGAAAAUCUCCAUGGGGGUAAUUAACUGUGUUCUGUUUAGUCUUUUGUGUCUGUACAUCUUUUCUCUCUGGAAGAUCAAGGGGACCAAGUCUAGGUCUGGAAUCAAAACCUGGUCCCCCUGAAACCAGGUAGAAAGGACUUUAUACCAUCAUCUUGACCACAUGCACAGCAGUGAAGGUGAAAGGAAUCCUCACCUGGAGUCAUCACAGCUGGCUGAAUAGGGCUUCACUGCCCCUUGGAAAGUAAAGGUAACUUUUAAGACAAUCAGCAUGCCCUGCUCCAGCCACAUACUGGGAGCUGGCUGGUCAAUGCACGGCUGAAGCCUGAGGAAACUCCUCAAGGGACUUGUCUUAAUUAGACUUUGAACUUUGGGAAAAGGGGGGAAAUGUCACAGGGAAAAGUAAAAACUCAUAUGCAUAUUAGCCCACCACCAUGGUACUAUUAAGGCCUCAAAGAGUCACAGUCCCUAAAACCUCAGUGCUGAAAAGUAAUUAAUAUUGGCAACUGCAGAAACAAGCUGAUAUUGAGACCCCAGAUUAAAAUAUAUUUGGAGUCUCAAAAGGGGGAAAUGAGAGAGGAUAGCCGAGAAGGGUGAGGUCUAGGAGAACAGGUCUUCUCAAGGAGACCUCAAGGAUACACAUGCAGGGUCCUCUCCACGGUGCCUCAGCUCUUGGGAAUUUCCUUAACUUCCUGAAACUUGGAAAUUUCCAAGUUCUGUGAAAUUCUAUAGUUCCGUGGGGGUGGGAAUAGGAUCUCCCACUUGAUUCAAACUGGCCAAUGAGAAGGAUACCUGUGGGGUGGAACUUUUUGACUGUCAAUAAAAAGGGAAGGACCAAGGCAGUUGGGGAGCACGGCCAUUUGGAAUUCUUCUAUGCCAUAAGCUUCUAGCUGGUGAAUAAAGCCCUUCCUCUUAUAAACAAUGGUGUUUGGGUGCUCUUUCUCUCCAUUGGGCCUUGUCUUCCUGCAACAGUUACCCGGUUAAACUUAACAACACUCAAACAAAGCUUUAUUUGCAUAAAAAACCCUCUG